GAUCAAUAAUAAAUUUGAACUGGAUCCAUCCAUGUUAAAUUAUUACAUGCCAAAUAACAAGGAUCUUUACUAUGAAUAUUUUAAAUGUGAUGAGAAAGUAAAAGACGCUAAACUAGAAUUUAAAGAAAAAGUCUGGAGUAUCAUGAAAUGCCUUCACAAACUCGAUUCAGAGAACUUCAUAUUAUUCUAGCAUCACAGGAAAAUUAACGCUGAUUAUCACUAAAAAAUCACUAAAAAAUUCUUUUGUAACGUAAUAAAUUAAUUAAAAUAAAUUAAUUAAAAUAAA
rnacentral:lncRNA from 1 species